rnacentral:rRNA from 1 species
AGCGAACGCUGGCGGCAGGCCUAACACAUGCAAGUCGAACGAACCUUUCGGGGUUAGUGGCGGACGGGGGGGUAACACGUGGGAACGUGCCUUUAGGUUCGGAAUAACUCAGGGAGACUUGUGCUAAUACCGAAUGUGCCCUUCGGGGGAAAGAUUUAUCGCCUUUAGAGCGGCCCGCGUCUGAUUAGCUAGUUGGUUGAGGUAAUGGCUCACCAAGGCGACGAUCAGUAGCUGGUCUGAGAGGAUGAUCAGCCACAUUGGGACUGAGACACGGCCCAAACUCCUACGGGAGGCAGCAGUGGGGAAUCUUGCGCAAUGGGCGAAAGCCUGACGCAGCCAUGCCGCGUGAAUGAUGAAGGUCUUAGGAUUGUAAAAUUCUUUCACCGGGGACGAUAAUGACGGUACCCGGAGAAGAAGCCCCGGCUAACUUCGUG